ensembl:lncRNA
GAAACCUGAUCUGAAAAACACAGCUGGGAGCACUCCCUUCGAAAGGACACCUUUCCCCCUCUGGCCUUGAGGCCCAUCCUUUGUGCAGCCACUGAACCCCUUGUCAGGAGUCACGAAACACAAGCUCCAUUCCUUCCUUUAGCUUAGAGAAAAUGAAUAUUCAUUUUCCCAUCUCGAGGUGCAGUGUGGAGGGUGACAAGGGCUCAUUUCAGCUCUUCUGGAUACAACUGCUCUAGUGUGGAGGAGAGCCUUCAAACUGCAUGGUGCUGGAGAGAGCAGACACGGUUUUGCACAGCUGAAUCAUGACCUAUAUUACGUCACCAAGCCUUGAAUUUGAUGUAAGCCAGGGUGAAAUCUGGCUUAUCGCUUGUAUUAUAAACAAGGUCUGACAGCAUUUUUCUCCUUCCAACAUGGGAUGAUGUCACUGUAUUGUGGAUAUAUUGUUCAUAUCAGAGGCUUUUGCGAAGAAACUUCAAGUCCAAGAAACUACAAGGCAAAAUCUGUGGUCAUCAAAACUCUCCAGUUGGGCAGUGCCAGCAAAGCACACCAGUAAAAUAAUGAGAGGACUAUCACUAUCACCACCACAAUGAAAACAAUAUUUAGUGGAAAACUUCAAGAAUACUCUUGGAUUCUUUUAUUACUUAAAAAAAAAUCAAGUCAACAAAUCUUUUGCAGUGCUAUUUAUCCUAGACCAAAUGAGAUUCACACACAAUAUAUUUUUAUUAACAGAUUCUGAAUUUUAGUUGCCUCUAGAAUAAUGAUGAGAUAUCUAAUACUUUGGUGGCAAAACAAACGGGGGGGAAGAAUGGCACAAGCAAUGUGGCAAAGUCUUUUUCACUCCUUUUUCUGAGAAGGAAAGAGGUAAACAGACCAUAGAGGAGACAUGAGCAUGUUUCUGCAAACCCAGAGGACAUACACCUGAAACUCUACAGAUUCAAAAGCACAAUGAGUAGCAUGUUUCCAGAGACUUCCAAUAAAACAUUUGCACAGUUACAGUUCAGAAGUUUGGAUCAAGCUAACUAAGUCAUAGUCAAGGGUGCUUAGCAGGGUGUGCAGCAUGGGCAAGUUAUAUUCUGCCAGUGUUCAGAGACUGUUAAAGCAAACAGUGGCAAACACAUUAGCCAUCAAUGAGGGGACAUGACAUCAAUGUCUAUGUACAGGAUUUAGCUCACCUACAGGCUUAUAGCUCUGUAUAUCAUUGGAGGCACGCGGGGAAAUGGAGGGAAACUCAAGAUAGACAAUCUUCUGAUCUUCCCCAGGUAGUCAGCACAGCACUCUUGAAGAAGGAUAACAAUAAAAAUAAUUGUGGAUGUUGACAUUGAGACAGAAACAAGACUUUAUUGGGAAUGCCAGUGGUUCAAAGAUGAAAAGGCCUCAAGAGGCUUUUUGUUAUCAAAUUCCACUUACCCUCCCCGUUGUAACUUUCAUCAGAGCUGAAGGGAUGCUGCCAAAAUCUGACUUCACUUCAGAAAGUGCCAGGAUACGCUGCUGGAGUUGCAACAGAAGAAAGACAGUUGGAAGGAGACAAACAUUCAGGUUAUGGCCUGGGAGAAGGGAAGAGGCUGGAGGAGAAAGAAAAUGGUUUUGUGUUGCUUCCCAAACCUUCUCCAAAGUUGCUAGGCAGGUGGGGGAGAUGGGGCCAGCCCCAUCUGGUCCACUUUUUCCAACAAUCUCUUUUCACAUCACUUUUCCUGCCAUGUGGGAAAAUGGGAAAAAUUCCCAACAAAUCACUGCAAAGUCUGCCCUGUGUUUCCUGGCAGCUCCCUCCUCUUCUUCAAAGUAGCCAAGAACCUACAGCCCAACAGCAGCUGAGCAGGUAGUACCAUUCUCCCUGCAUCUUGGAGGUGGACAACACUCACUUUGCUUUGCCCCAUUUUUACCCCAGUGAUUAUGUGAAGAAAUUUUCAGAACAAAGGACCAUUCUUUGCAUUUGUUUGACAAGUGUGCAGAGCAGUGAGAAUCCUCAAAUCCAUAUUCGUCCGUGGCCACAAUAAUGAGGCUAAUAAUAUCUGCAUGACCAUCAUACAAGCCAACAGAUACAGGACGGACAAGAAGGCUUUGUUACCUCCUCCUUCUUGAGUACUGAGAGCAGACCCUUCAGAAUAUCUGGUUUUCCAGGUGCAGAUGCUCACCAUUAUCUCAAAGAUCAGCUGACUUUCUGAUCUCCACUUAGGUUUUGCCCAAAAGGAGCAUCCCAGCUUACUAAUCAUUUCAGGAAAUUGUACCUUAUUGUGUUGGUUCAUCAGUUUUCCCUGAUUGUGCAAUGGAAAUAAAACUGCUUACUCCACCAUGAUUUCUCAAAAAUACUUUCAGUGUCUCCAGCAAAAGCUAUUUGUGUACAAAGCAUUAUUAAUAUUGUGAAAUGAUGAAAAAUCAACAUGUG